GGACUACACGGGUUUCUAAUCCUGUUUGCUCCCCACGCUUUCGUGCCUCAGCGUCAGUACAAGGCCAGUAAGCUGCCUUCGCUAUUGGUAUUCCUUAUGAUAUCUAAGCAUUUCACUGCUACACCAUAAAUUCUGCUUACCUCUCCUUGACUCAAGCUUUUUAGUUUCAAUGGCAGUUCUAGUGUUAAGCACUAGGAUUUCACCACUGACUUAAAAAGCCGCCUACGCACCCUUUAAACCCAUUGAAUCCGGAUAACGCUUGCACCCUCCGUAUUACCGCGGCUGCUGGCAC
rnacentral:rRNA from 1 species